rnacentral:lncRNA from 1 species
GACAGAAGUAAGGAGUUGUUGAAAUGCUUGUUAGUAUCAAAACACUUAAUAUUGUCAAAAUAUCGAGGAAAUGUAUCUCGACAAAAUUUUGACUUAACUUUAUUUUUUGUUUUAGAUGAGUUAGUUAGGUUAGUUGGAGAUUUCUUGUUGUGCAAGCUAUCUCAGCCUAUAAAUAGAGGGUAACCUUAUUAUUGUAAAGGUGUGAAUAAUAUUGUAGAUUGCAAAGUAAAGAGAAAAAUUUUCUCUGUAGAAUUCACAACUCUUCUU